rnacentral:snRNA from 1 species
CUUCAAAACUAAGAGCUCAUGGUAAAAUUGGAACGAUACAGAGUAGAUUAGCAUGACCCCUGAGCAAGGAUGACACGCAAAAUCGUAAAGCGUUCCAUAUUUCC